AGUGAACGCUGGCGGUAGGCCUAACACAUGCAAGUCGAACGGCAGCACAGUAAGAGCUUGCUCUUACGGGUGGCGAGUGGCGGACGGGUGAGGAAUACAUCGGAAUCUACUUUUUCGUGGGGGAUAACGUAGGGAAACUUACGCUAAUACCGCAUACGACCUACGGGUGAAAGCAGGGGAUCUUCGGACCUUGCGCGAUUGAAUGAGCCGAUGUCGGAUUAGCUAGUUGGCGGGGUAAAGGCCCACCAAGGCGACGAUCCGUAGCUGGCCUGAGAGGAGGAUAGGCCACACUGGAACUGAGACAGGGUCCAGACUCCUACGGGAGGCAGCAGUGGGGAAUAUUGGACAAUGGGCGCAAGCCUGAUCCAGCCAGACCGCGUGGGUGAAGAAGGCCUUCGGGUUGUAAAGCCCUUUUGUUGGGAAAGAAAAGCAGCAGGUUAAUACCCCGCUGUUCUGACGGUACCCAAAGAAUAAGCACCGGCUAACUUCGUG
rnacentral:rRNA from 1 species